AGCCGAGAACAAAACAAGUAUGUCCUGCUUUGAAGAGAAGGGACUCAGAGACUGCACUCAGAGAGCACAGCAAAAUGGAUUGUAUCACUGUCAACCCCUCCAACCACUUUCAGCCUGGCAAGACAAGAUUAGUCCUUUGAAAGAUGCAUCAGAAGGACCGACAAGGCAGAGGACAGACAGUUAAAGAUGGCAGUUGUGUUAUUCCAGGGGGCAGUACUUGUAGGUGAAGAAACAGUGCUGCCUGUGUCCUGGACUACUCUCCAUUCCACCCUACCUGCCCUUUGGGAUUGGAGGUAAGGUGGUGCAGAAUCAAAGACACAGACUCUGGGAGCAGUAUUCAGCCGUUUCCCUUCGUGGUUCUGUCUGUAUGCUACCCAGUGCAUGAUGAUAGCAAGGGAUGGAGUGCUCUCGCUGGUGUCCCAGCAGCCAUUGCCUUCACACCAGUCAGCUGAUUCUCUGCUGUGUUCCCAGGCAGGGCUGUUCACCCUCAGCUGCACAAUACAGCCAACCUGGAGCUCCUAAAAACGUAAGUACACAGGCUUCAUCCCACACCAAUUAAGUCAAACUCUUGGGGGCUUGGAAUCAGUUAUUAGUAUUUUUAAAAGCUAGAGAAGUUCCUCUGUGAAACUAAAAACUUGUGUUUACCAAUACUGGGCAUUUUUGAAGCUUUCUUUCCUUCCUUUUUCCUUUCUUUUUUCCUUCCUUCC